GGAGGGAUGUCCGAGUGGUUUAAGGAGGCGGUCUUGAAAACCGUUGUCCCGUUUCCGCGGGACCGUGGGUUCGAAUCCUACUCCCUCCGCCA
rnacentral:tRNA from 3 species